CAGUCGCCGCGGGAAAACGUAGGUGGCAAGCGUUGUCCGGAAUUAUUGGGCGUAAAGGGCUCGCAGGCGGUUUCUUAAGUCUGAUGUGAAAGCCCCCGGCUCAACCGGGGAGGGUCAUUGGAAACUGGGAAACUUGAGUGCAGAAGAGGAGAGUGGAAUUCCACGUGUAGCGGUGAAAUGCGUAGAGAUGUGGAGGAACACCAGUGGCGAAGGCGACUCUCUGGUCUGUAACUGACGCUGAGGAGCGAAAGCGUGGGGAGCGAACAGGAUUAGAUACCCCCGUAGUCCCUGUCUCUUAUAA
rnacentral:rRNA from 1 species